CCUUCGAUAGCUCAGUUAGUAGAGCGGUGGACUGUAGAAACGCAUACUGUAUGAUAUGCAUGGAAAACGCAUACUGUUCGUUGGCUUUCGCGGUGCCGGCAGCGAUCCCAACACUCUGUGCAGUCAUCCAUAGGUCGCUGGUUCAAAUCCGGUUCGAAGGA
rnacentral:tRNA from 1 species